rnacentral:rRNA from 1 species
AGAAUGAACGCUGGCGGCGUGCUUAACACAUGCAAGUCGAGCGAGGCGGAAGGGGGCAACUCCUUCCAGUCGAGCGGCGGACGGGUGAGUAACACGUGGGUAACCUGCCCGGAAGUGGGGAAUACCUCGGAGAAAUUCGAGCUAAUACCGCAUGACAUCUUUGGGACGAAAGUCCUGACGAUCAAAGCGGGGUCGCAAGAUCUCGCGCUACCGGAUGGGCCCGCGCCCGAUUAGCUAGUUGGUGAGGUAAUGGCUCACCAAGGCUUCGAUCGGUAACCGGCCUGAGAGGGCGAUCGGUCACACCGGAACUGAGACACGGUCCGGACUCCUACGGGAGGCAGCAGUGGGGAAUCUUGCGCAAUGGGCGAAAGCCUGACGCAGCAACGCCGCGUGGAGGAUGAAGGCCCUUGGGUUGUAAACUCCUGUCGGCUGGGAAGAAAUCGAUCGUGGCUCAUACCCACGGUCGUUGACUGUACCAGCAAAGGAAGCCCCGGCUAACUCUGUGCCAGCAGCCGCGGUAAUACAGAGGGGGCUAGCGUUAUUCGGAAUUAUUGGGCGUAAAGGGCGCGUAGGCGGCCAUGCGUGUCUUCCGUGAAAUCCCUCGGCUUAACUGAGGACGUGCGGAAGAAACUGCAAGGCUCGAGUCCGGGAGAGGGGGGGGGGGGAAUUCCCAGUGUAGCGGUGAAAUGCGUAGAUAUUGGGAGGAACACCGGUGGCGAAAGGCGGCCCCCUGGACCGGUACUGACGCUGAGGCGCGAAAGCGUGGGUAGCAAACGGGAUUAGAUACCCCGGUAGUCCACGCCGUAAACGAUGGGCACUUGGGUGUCGCGGGUAUCGACCCCUGCGGUGCCGAAGCUAACGCAUUAAGUGCCCGCCCUGGGGGAGUACGGUCGCAAGGCUGAA